CAGGGAAUCUUGUGCAAUGAACGAAAGUUUGACACAGCGACACCGCGUGUGGGAUGACGGAUCUAGGUUUGUAAACCACUUUCAGGAGGGAAGAAAAUGACGGUACCUCCACAAGAAGCCCCGGCCAACUACGUGCCAGCAGCCGCGGUAAUACGUAGGGGGCGAGCAUUGUCCGGAAUUAUUGGGCGUAAAGAGCUCGUAGGCGGUUCAACAAGUCGUUCGUGAAAGUUUAGAGCUUAACUCUAAAAUGUCGAUCGAUACUGUUGUGACUAGAAUACGGUAGAGGUGAGUGGAAUUCAAAGUGUAGCGGUGAAAUGCGUAGAUAUUUUGAGGAACACCAAAUGCGAAGGCAGCUCACUGGGCCGCUAUUGACGCUGAGGAGCGAAAGCUAGGGGAGCAAACAGG
rnacentral:rRNA from 1 species